rnacentral:rRNA from 1 species
UGGGGAAUUUUGGACAAUGGGCGCAAGCCUGAUCCAGCCAUGCCGCGUGCGGGAAGAAGGCCUUCGGGUUGUAAACCGCUUUUGUCAGGGAAGAAAUCUUCUGAGUUAAUACCUCGGGAGGAUGACGGUACCUGAAGAAUAAGCACCGGCUAACUACGUGCCAGCAGCCGCGGUAAUACGUAGGGUGCAAGCGUUAAUCGGAAUUACUGGGCGUAAAGCGUGCGCAGGCGGUUUUGUAAGACAGAGGUGAAAUCCCCGGGCUCAACCUGGGAACUGCCUUUGUGACUGCAAGGCUUGAGUGCGGCAGAGGGGGAUGGAAUUCCGCGUGUAGCAGUGAAAUGCGUAGAUAUGCGGAGGAACACCGAUGGCGAAGGCAAUCCCCUGGGCCUGCACUGACGCUCAUGCACGAAAGCGUGGGGAGCAAACAGGAUUAGAUACCCUGGUAGUCCACGCCCUAAACGAUGUCAACUGGUUGUUGGGAAGGUUCCUUCUCAGUAACGUAGCUAACGCGUGAAGUUGACCGCCUGGGGAGUACGGCCGCAAGGUUGAAACUCAAAUGAAUUGACGGGGUCAUA